rnacentral:tRNA from 5 species
UGGAUGUGUAGCUCAAUGGCAGAGCGAUCGCCUGUUAAGCGAUUGGUUAUAGGUUCGAAUCCUAUCACGUCCGCCAA